rnacentral:rRNA from 1 species
AGACCCGAAACCCGGUGAUCUAGCCAUGGGCAGGUUGAAGGUUGGGUAACACUAACUGGAGGACCGAACCGACUAAUGUUGAAAAAUUAGCGGAUGACCUGUGGCUGGGGGUGAAAGGCCAAUCAAACCGGGAGAUAGCUGGUUCUCCCCGAAAGCUAUUUAGGUAGCGCCUCGUGAAUUCAUCUCCGGGGGUAGAGCACUGUUUCGGCUAGGGGGCCAUCCCGGCUUACCAACCCGAUGCAAACUGCGAAUACCGGAGAAUGUUAUCACGGGAGACACACGGCGGGUGCUAACGUCCGUCGUGAAGAGGGAAACAACCCAGACCGCCAGCUAAGGUCCCAAAGUCAUGGUUAAGUGGGAAACGAUGUGGGAAGGCCCAGACAGCCAGGAUGUUGGCUUAGAAGCAGCCAUCAUUUAAAGAAAGCGUAAUAGCUCACUGGUCGAGUCGGCCUGCGCGGAAGAUGUAACGGGGCUAAACCAUGCACCGAAGCUGCGGCAGCGACACUCAGGUGUUGUUGGGUAGGGGAGCGUUCUGUAAGUCUGCGAAGGUGGCCUGUGAGGGUUGCUGGAGGUAUCAGAAGUGCGAAUGCUGACAUAAGUAACGAUAAAGCGGGUGAAAAGCCCGCUCGCCGGAAGACCAAGGGUUCCUGUCCAACGUUAAUCGGG